CCUACGGGUGGCAGCAGUGAGGAAUAUUGGUCAAUGGACGAGAGUCUGAACCAGCCAAGCAGCGUGAAGGAUGACUGCCCUCUGGGUUGUAAACUUCUUUUAUAUGGGAAUAAAAUGUUCCACGUGUGGGAUUUUGUAUGUACCAUAUGAAUAAGGAUCGGCUAACUCCGUGCCAGCAGCCGCGGUAAUACGGAGGAUCCGAGCGUUAUCCGGAUUUAUUGGGUUUAAAGGGAGCGUAGGUGGAUUGUCAAGUCAGUUGUGAAAGUUUGCGGCUCAACCGUAAAAUUGCAGUUGAAACUGGCAGUCUGGAGUGCAGUAGAGGUGGGCGGAAUUCGUGGUGUAGCGGUGAAAUGCUUAGAUAUCACGAAGAACUCCGAUUGCGAAGGCAGCUCGCUGGACUGCAACUGACACUGAGGCUCGAAAGUGUGGGUAUCAAACAGGAUUAGAUACCCUAGUAGUC
rnacentral:rRNA from 1 species